CAAGUCGUACGGAAAAGAAUUUUUAGUGGCGAACGGGUGCGUAACACGUGAGAAUCUGCCUUUAGGAAGGGGAUAACAUUUAGAAACAUUUGCUAAUACCCUAUAUGCUUUACGGUGAAAGAAUUUAUUCGCCUAAAGAGGAGCUCGCGUCUGAUUAGCUAGUUGGUAGGGUAAAGGCCUACCAAGGCGACGAUCAGUAGUUGGUCUGAGAGGACGGCCAGCCACAUUGGAACUGAGACACGGUCCAGACUCUUACGGGAGGCAGCAGUGAGGAAUUUUCUGCAAUGGGCGCGAGCCUGACAGAGCAAUACCGCGUGAGGGAUGACUGCCUACGGGUUGUAAACCUCUUUUCUCAAGGAGGAAGAUCUGACGUUACUUGAGGAAUAAGCAUCGGCUAACCCUGUGCCAGCAGCUGCGGUAAUACAGGGGAUGCAAGUGUUAUCCGGAAUUAUUGGGCGUAAAGCGUCUGCAGGUUGAUCUAUAAGUCUUUUGUCAAAUCUUUGGGCUUAACCCGAAAACAGCAAAAGAAACUAUUUAUCUUGAGUAUGGUAGAGGUAAGGGGAAUUUCGAGUGGAGCGGUG
rnacentral:rRNA from 1 species